UACGUAGGUGGCAAGCGUUGUCCGGAUUUACUGGGCGUAAAGGAUGCGUAGGCGGACAUUUAAGUCAGUGGUGAAAUCUCCGGGCUUAACCCGGAAACUGCCAUUGAUACUAUUUGUCUUGAAUACUGUGGAGGUCAGCGGAAUAUGUCAUGUAGCGGUGAAAUGCUUAGAUAUGACAUAGAACACCAAUUGCGAAGGCAGCUGGCUACACAAAUAUUGACACUGAGGCACGAAAGCGUGGGGAUCAAACAGG
rnacentral:rRNA from 1 species